CUUGCUUCAAUACAUGCUUUCCAACUUCUGCACCUGUUCCACGGUUCCGUCCGCCUGAAGGCUCUCUCACUCUCCUCCAGAAAGACUUCCAUCUCCCUGCAGGAAAGCCAGCUAUGUCAAUGUGGACACUCGAGCAGUCCUCUGGAGUGAGCCACAUGGUGAAAAAUGGAGUCCUCCUGCCACCAGCCAAAAGGGACUUGCCAACCUUGUGACUGAGCCGGCCCAGACACUCCAGCCCCAGUUAAACCUUUGGAAGACUGUGGCCUCACCAACAUCUUGACUGCAACUUCGUGAGAGACCCAGAGCUAGACCCAUGCAACUAAGCUGCUCCCCAAUUCCUGGCCCACAGACACUGGGAGAGAUAAUACAUGUUUAUUUCUG
rnacentral:lncRNA from 10 species